ACGGCAGCACAGAGAAGCUUGCUUCUUGGGUGGCGAGUGGCGAACGGGUGAGUAACAUAUCGGAACGUACCGAGCAGUGGGGGAUAACUAAUCGAAAGAUUAGCUAAUACCGCAUAUAUUCUGAGGAAGAAAGCAGGGGACCAUUUGGCCUUGCGCUGUUUGAGCGGCCGAUAUCUGAUUAGCUAGUUGGUGGGGUAAAGGCCUACCAAGGCGACGAUCAGUAGCGGGUCUGAGAGGAUGAUCCGCCACACUGGGACUGAGACACGGCCCAGACUCCUACGGGAGGCAGCAGUGGGGAAUUUUGGACAAUGGGCGCAAGCCUGAUCCAGCCAUGCCGCGUGUCUGAAGAAGGCCUUCGGGUUGUAAAGGACUUUUGUCAGGGAAGAAAAGGGCGGGGUUAAUACCCCUGUCUGAUGACGGUACCUGAAGAAUAAGCACCGGCUAACUACGUGCCAGCAGCCGCGGUAAUACGUAGGGUGCGAGCGUUAAUCGGAAUUACUGGGCGUAAAGCGGGCGCAGACGGUUACUUAAGCAGGAUGUGAAAUCCCCGGGCUCAACCUGGGAACUGCGUUCUGAACUGGGUGACUAGAGUGUGUCAGAGGGAGGUAGAAUUCCACGUGUAGCAGUGAAAUGCGUAGAGAUGUGGAGGAAUACCGAUGGCGAAGGCAGCCUCCUGGGAUAACACUGACGUUCAUGCCCGAAAGCGUGGGUAGCAAACAGGAUUAGAUAUCCUGGUAGUCCACGCCCUAAACGAUGUCGAUUAGCUGUUGGGCAGCAUGACUGCUUAGUAGCGAAGCUAACGCG
rnacentral:rRNA from 1 species